rnacentral:misc_RNA from 1 species
UAGCACGAAGGGGAGCCUGGGCUCCCCUUCAAGUUCGAUUGCAUGCUCGUUUUUAUUAGUAAGUGGCCUAUUGUUGUUUUUGGCAGCCAGCUUUUUUUGCUUUUCUGAGCGACCCCCAAUGGGGACCAAGAGCAAACGUAUUUUUUUGAGCGCUGAUCCGCUUCGAUCUUUCGAUCCGACUGGUCUGGUAGCUGCCUGAACGCAGUU